GCCCGAUUAGCUCAGCUGGUUAGAGCGUCGUACUAAUAUCAUCUUUCCCUAGAUAUGUCCAGUAAUGCGAAGGUCAACAGUUCAAUCCUGUUAUUGGGCA